rnacentral:rRNA from 1 species
AGUAGUUUGAUCCUGGCUCAAGAACGAACGCUGGCGGCAUGCCUUACACAUGCAAGUCGAACGGCAGCACGGGGGGCAACCCUGGUGGCGAGUGGCGAACGGGUGAGUAACAUAUCGGAACAUACCCUAGAGUGGGGGACAACUUGGGGAAACUCAAGCUAAUACCGCAUGAUGUCUACGGACAAAAGCUGGGGACCUUCGGGCCUGGCGCUUUAAGAUUAGCCUGCGUCCGAUUAGCUAGUUGGUGGGGUAAGGGCCUACCAAGGCGACGAUCGGUAGCUGGUCCGAGAGGAUGGCCAGCCACACUGGAACUGAGACACGGUCCAGACUCCUACGGGAGGCAGCAGUGAGGAAUAUUGGACAAUGGGGGCAACCCUGAUCCAGCCAUGCCGCGUGAGUGAAGAAGGCCUUCGGGUUGUAAAGCUCUUUCAGUUGUGAAGAUAAUGACGGUAGCGACAGAAGAAGCCCCGGCUAAAUUCGUG